rnacentral:lncRNA from 1 species
CGCCUACAAGUGAACCUUCUUAUUGAUUUUAAAUGGGUAGUUGCCAUGAGUAUUUUGAUGGGAAGAAAAACUAAAAAAAAUGUAAUUGUGCACUAUUGGAAAAUUUUACUCCCCCGAUCCAUAAUGAGUGUCUCAGACUUAUUAUAGAGUUGCAAUAAGUUAUGGAUCGGAGGGAGUGGUAUACAUUAAAUAAAACAUGUUACAGGUUAAAAAAAAUCAAGCCUAUGUAUGUCCAAAUUUCAUGAUAAAUUGUUAAUUUUUUUUCAAAUAGAUAAGUGUAUUUUUUUGUCCCCUAGCGCGAAAGUGUGGACUCCACCUCUUAACUCUUUCCUUUUGUGAUUUUUCUACUGUGAACUAUUAAUAUUGAGUAAAUUUGGUCCCGUGUCGAUUUUGGGUGGUCAAACCAUUUGGCCUAGUGUGACAGAUGGAUUGUUGGAUUCUUCUGUCACUUUGGUGUAGAUGUGGUUGUUUUUGGAGACACCGCGGUAUCAUCACAUGAGAAAUUGACUUUAUGUAUCUAUUUAUUUGGUUUUCGAAACGGUGUCUAUGUCUAUGUUUCUGGGUUUUUUAUAGCAUUUUCUUCUCCUUUAUUCACCUACCACCUCCAUAAGAAGGUGUAAGAAGUUUUAAUCUCCGCGCGCUGU